CACGCCGUAAACGAUGGAUACUAGGUGUAGGAGGUAUCGACCCCUUCUGUGCCGGAGUUAACACAAUAAGUAUCCCACCUGGGGAGUACGAUCGCAAGAUUGAAACUCAAAGGAAUUGACGGGGGCCCGCACAAGCAGUGGAGUAUGUGGUUUAAUUCGAAGCAACGCGAAGAACCUUACCAGGGCUUGACAUCCCUUGACAGUCCUAGAGAUAGGAUAUCCCUUCGGGGCAAGGAGACAGGUGG
rnacentral:rRNA from 1 species